rnacentral:rRNA from 1 species
CAGCCGCCGCGGUAAUACAGAGGGUGCGAGCGUUAAUCGGAUUUACUGGGCGUAAAGCGUGCGUAGGCGGCUUCUUAAGUCGGAUGUGAAAUCCCUGAGCUUAACUUAGGAAUUGCAUUCGAUACUGGGAAGCUAGAGUAUGGGAGAGGAUGGUAGAAUUCCAGGUGUAGCGGUGAAAUGCGUAGAGAUCUGGAGGAAUACCGAUGUCGAAGGCAGCCAUCUGGCCUAAUACUGACGCUGAGGUACGAAAGCAUGGGGAGCAAACAGGAUUAGAUACCCCUGUAGUCCCUGUCUCUUAUAC